rnacentral:rRNA from 1 species
UACAGAGGCCUCGAGCGUUAGGCGGAAUCACUGGGCCUAAAGCGUGUGUAGGCGGACUUCUAAGUACCUUGUGAAAUCCCACAGCUUAACUGUGGAACUGCUUGGUAUACUGGUUGUCUUGAGGUACCUAGGGGCGAGCGGAACAAGUGGUGGAGCGGUGAAAUGCGUAGAUAUCACUUGGAACGCCAACGGUGAAAACAGCUCGCUGGGGGUAUCCUGACGCUGAGACACGAAAGCCAGGGGAGCAAACGGG